AUUACAUUGACAGUUUAGUCUUCCGCAUAAUAUGCCAAAGACAGCGAGCGGGGUGUAAUAAGAAAACGAUAGGUAGCUAGCUAUACAAUUAAAGCUGAGGCAGGGAUGCAUCUGACAUCCAUCUGCAGUAAUCGUCACUGGAUGUGAUAAGUAGGCGGGCCUUCUGACCAGUCGACGGGGCCAAUACCUGCAAGCAGCAGGUGUGGGCACACCCCUUGAGUGGUGUGCGUUGCCAAAGCUCCUCGGCCUUUACUGUCAUUGGCUGUGACUGGAGGAGCAACCAAGUAGCUGACUGACGCUUCAUUAGUGGGUGGAGCCAGCCCAGAGUGAAAGGCGUGGCCAGUUAUGGAGAGCAUAAGUGGUAGCAGCGUGGACUCGAGAGCCACCCUUCGGGGCAUAAACACCACACCUCUCUUGGCCCGCAUAGAGUCUUAUGAGGCGAGCGAGAAGAAGUGUAUCUCUGAUGUCAGGAGGACAUUCUGCCUCUUUGUCACCUUUGACCUCCUCUUCAUCACCUUGCUCUGGAUCAUUGAGCUCAAUGUGAACGGAGGAAUCGAGAAGCAGCUCGAUAAGGAGGUUUUACACUAUGACUACCACGCCUCAUUCUUCGACAUAUUUCUCCUGGCUGUGUUGCGGUUUGCAGCCCUAAUCUUGGCCUAUGCUGUUUGUAAACUGCGUCACUGGUGGGCCAUAGCGAUAACCACAGCAACCACAAGUGCUUUCUUGAUCGCAAAAGUCAUUUUAUCAAAGCUCCUUUCCCAGGGGGCCUUUGGGUACCUGCUGCCCAUCAUCUCUUUCGUCCUGGCCUGGAUAGAGACGUGGCUACUAGACUUUAAGGUCCUACCUCAGGAGGCUGACGAUGAGAACAGAUUUCUUUCUAUAAUGGACGCCCCUGAAAGGGCCCCCUUCAUGCAACCAGGACCACUUUCAGAUGGGCAGUUCUACUCCCCACCCGAGUCUGUGGCAGACUCUGAUGAGGAGCUGCUGGAUGAUAAACACGACACGGAGAAGGCUCUUAUUUAGCAGGCCAGCCGAAGUUUGGGAGCCGACAUAUACGCCCCAUGGUCUGAGAUUUGUUAACGUACCAGUGGUCAUCCUGGAAGGUGGAACCCAUUUGAAGAUUCACAACUUUGAGUGACUGCAUCUGAAGUGCUCACAGCAGCUGCCCCAUCGAACCACGGGGAAGACUUACGACCACUGCAUGUUCUGUAUUCCUCCACUGAGAGAUCGACAUUCCUCAGCCUAUCACCCUCUACACACCUGCUUCAUAUCCCGUCGCCUCUUCACUCAAGCUUCCAAACAGUUGUUUUUAAAGAACUGAGUGCCAACUGUUUUAUUUGUUGUCGUCGCCAGAUAUAAGUUCCUAAUGUGCUUAUUCUUCUAUCUCUUGCUGAUAGGGUUAGAAGCUUCAAAAGUUUCCGAAUUGAAGACUGAGAAGUCAGCAUGGGCAGUGUGUGCCAAUUUCAAGUGUGGCUACAGGGCUGUUGAGCCCUAAGGAUGGCACUUUAAUAUAAAUAGAUUACUCAGAAAAAAACGUAUUGAUAUUAAACAAACUCCUUUGGACAACUGUCAAGGGGGAAAAUAUAAUAGACUACAUAACCAACAAAGCUGUGCCUGCAUAUGUAACAACUUCAGUUGGUGAUCUAUAUAUGUCUGAAUGCAUGACUUUGGGAACUCAAUGAUGCAAUGUUUUUUUGAUUUCUUCUUAUGAUUAUGACCUCUCUUCAUCAUAGGAAAGGAAGAAAUUGUAUACAGCACCUUUUUUUAUCACUGGAAAGUGUUAUACCGUUUGUUUUCUAUGCUGACCAUUUGGAAGUAGAAGGGCAUUAGCCCGGAAGCUUCUUAGUAAACUUUCCACUUGGCUUUGCAAAUUGUAUCAAUAUACAAAUAAAAAAAAUGGCAGAAUACAUUUCCCAUGAAUUCA